GAUGAACGCUAGCGGCAGGCCUAAUACAUGCAAGUCGAACGGUAAGGCCCUUUCGGGGGUACACGAGUGGCGGACGGGUGCGUAACGCGUAUGCAACAUGCCUUCCAGCGGGGGAGUAUACCAGGGAAACGUUGGCGCAAUACCCCACUAGAAUUACGGGACCGCAUGGUCUUGUGAUUAAAACUACCGGUGCUGGGAGAUUGGCAUGCGUGACAUUAGCUAGUUGGCGGGGUAACGGCCCACCAAGGCGACGAUGUCUAGCUGGUCUGAGAGGAUGAUCAGCCACACUGGGACUGAGACACGGCCCAGACUCCUACGGGAGGCAGCAGUAGGGAAUAUUGGACAAGUGGGGGGGAACCCUGAUCCAGCCAUG
rnacentral:rRNA from 1 species